ensembl:lncRNA
CAGGACACGAAGACAGGGUAAGAGAGCUGGCACGCUGGUGAAACUCAGGAAGCGCGGAUUUUGAAUGCCGUUGCCUGACAUCCAUCUGGCAAAUCUCCGCUCUCUACCCAACAAAACAGACGAACUCCUUCUGCUCUCCUGUACAAAUAAGGAUUUCUCACACUCUGCUGCUCUGUGUUUCAUGGAAACUUGGCUAAACGACGCUAUUCCAGACAGCAUGCUCCAUCUGCCAGCCUUUCAGCUGUUCAGAGCGGACCACGACGCAGAAUCAACGGGAAAAUCGUGUGGCGGCGGGACAUGCUUUGACAUCAACGAAAGGUGGUGUACAGAUGUAACAGUGUUAAAGAAGAUGUGCUGUUCAGAUCUAGAAACACUCUUCAUUAACUGCAAGCCAUUAUAUUCGCAGCGGGAGUUUCACUCGUUCAUUCUGGUGAGUGUUUACAUCCCUCCACAAGCGCACGUGAGCCUGGCUUUACAGAAACUCGCUGAUCAGAUCACGGAGACAGAACAACAACACCCUGACUCUGUUUUAAUCAUUCCCGGGGACUUUAAUAAAGCAAAUCUCUCUCGUGAACUGCCAAAAUACAGACAGCACAUCACAUGUCCUACCAGAGACAGUAAUAUAUUGGAUCACUGUUACACCACAAUAAAGGAUGCAUAUCACUCUGUUCCACGAGCAGCUUUGGGGCGCUCUGAUCACUGUUUGGUUCAUGUUAUACCGACCUACAGGCAGAAACUAAAAUCAGCUAAACCUGUAUUAAGGACUGUAAAAAGAUGGACUAAUGAAGCAGAGCAGGAUUUACAAGCUUGUUUUGACCUCACUGAUUGGAGUGUUUUUGAAGCUGCUGCCAACGAUCUGGACGAGCUCACAGAGACUGUAACAUCUUAUAUCAGUUUCUGUGAGGAUAUCUGUAUUCCUACCAGGACCCAUCUAACUUACAACAAUGACAAACCGUGCUUCACUGCAAAACUCAGACAGCUCUGUCAGGCCAAAGAAGAUGCUUACAGGAAGGGGGACAAUGUCCUGUAUAAACAGGCUAAAUACACACUGGAAAAGGAGAUCAGAGUGGCAAAGAGGAAUUAUUCUGAAAAAAUAAGGACUCGGUUCACUUCCAGCGACUCAGCAUCAGUGUGGAAAAGUCUGAAAGAGAUCACCGACUACAAGACACCAUCCCCCAGCACUGUGGAGAUUUACAACUGGCAGACGAUCUGAACGAGUUUUACUGCAGGUUUGAAAGAACACCCAUCACCUGCCCUGAACACCUCUCCACACAACCGUUCACACCAUUCACACCCAUUGCACCCCGCCCUGAACACCUCUCCAAACAACCUCUCACACCAUUCACACCUCCUGCAAAUCCCCUCUCCCCCACACCUGAUCAGUGAGAGGAGGUGCGCCAGGUCUUCCGGAAGCAGAAAAGGAAAAAAGCACCAGGCCCAGAUUGUGUUACGUCCGUCUGUCUGAAAUCCUGUGCUGACCAGCUGGCCCCCAUCUUCACACAGAUCUUCAACAGAUCACUGGAGCUGUGCGAAGUCCCUU